CCUAGUAACUGCGAGUGAAGCGGGAAAAGCUCAAAUUUGAAAUCUGGCGGUCCUUUGCGGCCGUCCGAGUUGUAAUCUAGAGAAGUGCUACCCGCGCUGGACCGUGUACAAGUCUCCUGGAAUGGAGCGUCACAGAGGGUGAGAAUCCCGUCUUUGACACGGACUGCCAGGGCUUAUGUGGUGCGCUCUCGAAGAGUCGAGUUGUUUGGGAAUGCAGCUCUAAAUGGGUGGUAAAUUCCAUCUAAAGCUAAAUACAGGCGAGAGACCGAUAGCGAACAAGUACCGUGAGGGAAAGAUGAAAAGAACUUUGGAAAGAGAGUUAAACAGUACGUGAAAUUGCUGAAAGGGAAACGUUUGAAGUCAGUCGCGUUGGCUGGGGAUCAACCUUGCUCUUGCAGGGCGCACUCUCCGGUUCGACGGGUCAGCAUCAGUUUUGGCCGCUGGAGAAAGGCUAGGGGAAUGUGGCAUCGCUUCGGUGAUGUGUUAUAGCCCUUGGUCGUAUGCAGCGGCUGGGACUGAGGAACUCAGCCUGCCCUUAACUGGGCCGGGUCUUUUGACCACGCUAACGGGCUUAGGAUGCUGGCAUAAUGGCUUUAAGCGACCCGUCUUGAAACACGGACCAAGGAGUCUAACAUGCUUGCGAGUGUUUGGGUGGAAAACCCGAGCGCGUAAUGAAAGUGAAAGUUGGGAACCCUGUCGUGGGGUGCACCGACGCCCGGACCAGACCUUCUUGCGACGGCUCCGCGGUAGAGCAGGCAUGUUGGGACCCGAAAGAUGGUGAACUAUGCCUGAAUAGGGUGAAGCCAGAGGAAACUCUGGUGGAGGCUCGUAGCGAUUCUGACGUGCAAAUCGAUCGUCAAAUUGGGUAUAGGGGCGAAAGACUAAUCGAACAUCUAGAAGCUGGUUCUGGCGAAGUUUCCCUCA
rnacentral:rRNA from 1 species